rnacentral:rRNA from 1 species
UACGGAGGGAGCUAGCGUUGUUCGGAAUUACUGGGCGUAAAGCGCGCGUAGGCGGCUUUGUAAGUUAGAGGUGAAAGCCCGGAGCUCAACUCCGGAACUGCCUUUAAAACUGCAUCGCUUGAAUCCAGGAGAGGUGAGUGGAAUUCCGAGUGUAGAGGUGAAAUUCGUAGAUAUUCGGAAGAACACCGGUGGCGAAGGCGGCUCACUGGCUCGUUUCUGACGCUCAGGCGCGAUAGCGUGGGGAUCAAACAGG